rnacentral:rRNA from 1 species
UGGGGAAUAUUGCGCAAUGGGCGAAAGCCUGACGCAGCUACGCCGCGUGGGUGAUGAAGGCCUUCGGGUUGUAAAGCCCUGUCGGGAGGGACGAAGUUCUGACGGUACCUCCCAAGAAAGCACCGGCUAACUCCGUGCCAGCAGCCGCGGUAAUACGGAGGGUGCAAGCGUUGCUCGGAAUCAUUGGGCGUAAAGCGUACGCAGGCUGUUCGUUAAGUCGGGUGUGAAAGCCCGGGGCUCAACCCCGGAAAUGCGCCCGAAACUGGCGAGCUUGAGUGCGGGAGAGGGAAGCGGAAUUCCUGGUGUAGAGGUGAAAUUCGUAGAUAUCAGGAGGAACACCGGUGGCGAAAGCGGCUUCCUGGCCCGACACUGACGCUCAUGUACGAAAGCGUGGGGAGCAAACAGG